rnacentral:misc_RNA from 1 species
UAACCCUCAAGCACUGCUUGGUGAUGGGCGUCUGUCCCGCCUCUGCGCGCGGACUCGCCCCAAAGGCAUUGGCAGCGGUCCCGUCCGCCUCUCGCGCAGCACAGAUGCGCUUCUCGAGGCUUCGGGCCCGCGUCCACGAAGCUCAUUUACCAC